AGCUGCGCAGUGGGCACAGAGCGAACUAUUCUUUCGCCUUUUACUAAAGAAUACCGUGUGCCCGCUGCAACAAGCAGCAUACGCCUAUUUUUUGGAGGGCUCCUUCUCUCUGUGAGGAGGG